UGGGGGUUGAAGCUGAUCACCUUGGGCAAACUAUGUCGCCUCUCUGUGCCUUAGUUGCAUCUUCUGUGACUGCCCCCGGGCCCCUCAUCACAGCUGAUUUCCUAGACUAGAUGUUGGGAGGGAGGCUGCUGAAGGGAGUAAGAAGAGGCAACUGCUAGGGAUAAUGAAGAGAGAGACAAAAACAGAUUAAAGCCGAUAAACUGAGUGCAAAUACCCUCAAAAGAGAAAGAAUCCCACAGUGUUUUGAGCCACUUAGCGUAAGGAAAACAAAAUCACGUGAACCCAAAGCUCUUGAGAAUGUGAGUAUUGUGGGUAGGAGGGUGUCAUCAGAAAACAGUUGAGAAAAGGCCUUUUGUUUUCCCUUGAUGUUUCCAGUAAGGAUGGGGAGCAGAAGCUAAAACCAACCGCUUCACAGUGGAAGCUGCUGUUUUGUGCAAAACUGACCAAAGGUUGGAAACCAGUCAUCAGCGGUGCUGGCAAAUGAAGAGACUUCUGGAUUGGGUGGGACACUUGCUGUGACUUCCAGUGAUGUACCGACCUCCCAGGACUGCUGUGGAGAUCCAGUGAGAUAACGUGUUCGCAGUGUGCAGCGUGGUCCCCAGCACAGAGUCAGUGCUGCGUGAGUGCCAAUCCCUCCCUUUUCUCUGCUCUUCCUGUCCAUCUGUCUCCCUCCACUUUUCCCCUCCUCCCCUCCCCCUCCUCUCCUCCCCCUCCCAUCUUCUCCCUCCCUCGCUGCCCCACCUUCCCUCACAGAACCCAGAGGAUCGCUGGCCCUCCUGCGCAUGGGCAGUCAGUGCCAGCUGGACCCCGAGUUGGAAGCUCCAGCUCCGAGCCAGGAAUCGGCCCCAAAACCUUCUCAGCUCUGUCGCCCGGACCAGCUCAGUGGCGUGGGCACUGCUCCCCCGGCUGAGAGCCCCCGGCUGUAACGCCCAGCUUCUCCUAGUGGAGUCGGGAAAAGGGAUCCUCAGUGUUGAGCGAGCUUCUAUCUCCUCCCUCAGUGUUUCUGCCGCAGAUACCCAGCUUUCCCUGCACCAUUCAUUGAAUAGACUAUUCUUUCAAUGGAGUGUUGUUGGCACCCUUGUUGAAAACUGACUGUAAAUAUAAGGAGACUGAGGAUUAAGUCUUCUCUCUUUUUGGGGGAGCUCAUUAUCAAUGACUGGAAGUUGUAAGGAAAAAGAUAUUGAUUCAUCCUGAGAAAACAUUUUUCUGAGAGUCAGCAUUGAAGAGGGUGACCACUGAAGAGGGUGAUCAUUGUUCGAGUGAGACGAGCCCCGUGUUGUACGGAGUCAGCAUCCCAGUCCUGGACACGGUACUGUGCUGCGUGGUGGGUGAGGCAGCGUGGCCACGCAGGGAACGAGGAUGCCGUGCCGUUGGGCUGUGCUCAGGCCUGGCUCGAUGAGUUUCACUGGAGGGAAUUGAUCUUACAGAAGAUGGACUUAACUCAGGCCUCUUCAGAAUGGACAAAUGAACCUGGAGAAAGACAGUCAAAUCUGUGCAGACAUUGAAGUCCACGUGAACGUGCUGUAUCCCUGAGCCAAAGAUUGGACAAGUAGGCAGCACUUCUUGAGGACAGAGGAGUGGUUUUUAAGGUUCUCCAAGAAUGAAUCCCAGGGAACCGGGAUGGCCAGUUGUCAAACUGUGACUUUGCUCUUUGGACGGUGUGCCCACCAAAGGAGAGGAAAACAAGUCUAAACUUACUUUCCAGUUGGAAAUGGAAUGGAGAGUUAACGUUGGAAGCCGGGAG